UCCCUAAUAGCUCAGAGGGUAAAGCAUCUGCCUGCAAUGCAGGAGACCCAGGUUCGAUCCCUGGGUUGGGAA
rfam:Ovis aries breed Texel chromosome 6, whole genome shotgun sequence.